GCCAAAUCAGAUCGACCGAGCCGACCGACUCAUCAUCGAUUCCCCAUGGCAGAGACGUCCAAGAAGCGACCGCUUCCCCCAGACGAAUUCGACUCGCCGCCGCCGCCGGAGCAGAGGCGGGCUAGGUUUCCUAAGGGUAAGAAAGCGAAGAGGGGCAGCGAAGACCUCCCCUUCCAUGGGGACGGCGGAGACGGCAACUGGAUGGAUCCGCAGCUCGCUGCCAAGGAGCGCGCCAAGCGUCGCAACCAGACGCGGGAGAACGAGGUCUUAGGUGACCAGGUGGAUGUCUUCUCGGGCGAAAUCCAGUACGAGGAUAAUGUCAACUUUGAGGAUGAUGGGAUUCAAAUAGAACCAUUUAAUUUGAAGCAAGAGAGAGAAGAAGGUUACUUUGAUGCAAAUGGAAAUUUUGUUGAAUACACUAGACAAAAUGAAAUUAAGGAUGCAUGGCUAGAUAAUGUCGAAGUUGAUACAAGAUUUGUGGGAAAGUUUCAGCCAAAAAGUACUGCAGAGGAGGUAUAUGAGGAUCUUUCUUCAGAUGAUAUAGGGAAAAUAAAAAGAAGAAUAGCUGAUGCACUUCAGCCAGGAGAAACGAUAAUACAAGCUUUGAAAAGGUUGAAAGGAACUUCCACUGACAAGAAAGCAAAGAUGUUGGAUGCCACAAAACAGAUAUUUGAUCAACUCACUGAAGAUGCCAUGAAACUCAUGGAGAAUGGAGAUUACAAUGUUUACUAUGAAGAACAGGAGACCUUUGCGCGGGAAGCAGAAGGAUAUGAGCGAUUAACUCGUGCAAAAGCUGAUACGACUGGUACAAAAGGCAUCAUUUCUGAAUCAGAUUGUGUGGAGGAUAUAUUUUCUGAUGGUAUGCAACAUGGAGAACAAAAAUCAGAGAUAUGGGACAUACAUCCUAGACCUUCGGCAGUUAAUGUCUCUGUUCAACAAGCAUCACCCGAUGAUAGUGGUGACAAAAUUGACAUGUUUGGGGAUGAAGAAAAUGCCAACGAGAAUCUACCUGUCCCCAGUGCUGAGCAGGCUGAUCAACCUACUUCAGGAAGCUUGGGUUCUUCCCAAGACCUGGGCUCUGGAGCUGUCAGUCAUGGAGGGGAUGGAAAUGAUUAUGUAUAUGACGAAACAUCCGGUUACUAUUACAGCAGCAGCUUGGGCUAUUAUUAUGAUCCUACUUCGGGAAUGUACUGCUGUGGUGCAACAGGGACAUGGUACACAUUUGAUGAGCAUAGCGGCACCUACACUGAAAUUCAGAGUUCCACAACCGAGAGUUGAAGAGUCUAUAAAUGGACCAAAUGUAUAAUCUGCUCAUAAGAACUCCAAUGUUGUGAAUACAGAGAGUGAAAAUGCAGCGAGCAGCAUGCAUAUAUUCCUAGUAGUUGUCUACUUGAUCCUGCAGCCCGGCAGAUGUACCCGUUGAUGAAGCCAUUUCUGGAGCAACGUUUCACCUUCCAUACGAAUAGAGGAGGUAAGACUUGAGACAUCUUCCGCCAUGAAGUCACUCUUAUAGGUUCAGAAAGCACUUGAAGAUGCUGCUUAGCUAUUAGGUUUUCAUUUUUUUCCUGUCUUGAUUGGAAGCUAUUCUUUUAAGAUGGUAAUUUGUACUUUUGUCAAAUUUGUUCACACAAAAGGCACACAUGUUUGUGAUGGUAACACAGGAGGGAAUUUUAUCCUUAUAAAAUUUAAGAUUCUUCGUGAACAUCUCUCCUGUGUUACUAUCAAUCCAAACAAUACAAGGUUACCAAUAUCAAAACAAUAUACUAAUAUAAAAUGAUUAAAUUAUCCGGUUA